rnacentral:lncRNA from 1 species
GGAACCUGUGCAGCCCAAGCCUGAUUCUUGUUUCCAAAGUUCCGUGGGGCCAGUACCACGGAACUUGGAAUUCUGCCGAGGGCUCCUCCUCCUCUCCUCAGCCCUCCUCCCUCCUUUCUCCUCUUGUAUGAAGCCACCAGUCAUGCUUCCUAACUGAAUGCCAUCUAGGGAGGGGAGGUGGUUGCCAGCUCUUAGGACCUCAGCGGACUCUACCUCAGAAUCACACAGGAAGUCCACUAACACCACUCGAGGAGGGAUGGCAAGGCCAGCUGUCUUCUAACUGAACUGAGAGGAUGAAGGUAGCAGACGUGCACGCGUGUAUCGAGCAGCUCCCUGCCGCCACAGUAAAGCAAAUUACGAGGAACAAAGGACAUUAACUUUCCGGUGCUGAGGAGCAAGGUAAC